CGGGUGGCUCCGGCCCCGCGGGUGGCUCCGGCCCGGCAGCGGAGCCCUGGGAAGGCGGCGGAUCUCCGGGGCACGGCGUGGAUGCGUUCCGCUCUCUUCCCCACCAAAAAGCUGCGGGAACGGGAAGCGGAGGGUUUGUCGGUCUCGGCUGUCCGUCCUCUCGGCUGUCCCAGCACCAAUUAUGGUAUCCGACAUGAGAUAAUGAGGCUCCGUGACCGGCCCCAGGUUCCCUUUAAGUUUUCCCAUGGACUCGAGCUGUCGCCAGUUCACAAAACGGCAGUGAUUUCUCCAAGUCGCCUCCCAGCCUCCCUUUGGUGUUCGUGAAAAGCCUCGCUCCGUCUCUCUCUCUUUUUUUUUUCCUUGGGGACUCCAAAGGGAAUCAAGCGAAAUGAAGUGAUCUGCGAGACAGGCGGGGAGCGCGCGUUGUGGAGGGGAUUUAGAGCAAAUCUGUAUUCGCUGUGAAACGUCCCGUGCUGGAAAACAAACAGCACCGGGGUGGAGGGGUAGGAGGGCGGGUGGUUGCAGAAGGAGCUCAGCCUUCGGGGGCGACUCCUGCGGCCGCCGGGCGGGGGGCGAUGGCUGCCGUUCGGGGAUGGCUCCGCGCUCCGCUCCGACGCUGGGGCCGGGCAGCUCGUUUCUAAUCUUGGGAGGGAGCGAAUAUAAAAGAGGAAUUUAUUAGCUUUCAGGCCAUCCGAGGAAUAAACAUUGAUUUUAUUGACCUAAUUAUGGGCCAAAUGACUCCUUCCAUCGAUCACGUAAAAUACUUCAUUUGGAGAAAAACAGGCGCGGGCGCCCGGAGGCGGGGAGAGCGGGUGGAUGUGCUGCGAAAGGGAAAGAAAAGCAAAAGCUAGAAAAUGUAUGGAGAGGUUUUAAUGCAGUUAACGUGCCCGUCGCGCUGCAGCGAGAGCCCUGUCUCCCAGACGUUGCAGUGCGGAUGUUUUGCAAACUUAAAGCUUUUAUGUCGAAUUCCAAUCCGGCCGGUCAAUUUGGCUAAAAUAGCAUUAAACAAAUGGACAGCGGUUUAUUUAUAUUCCGCCCACCGUAUUUUAUAGACAGAGAAGAGUUAUUUGAAAUGUAUUUUACAAGCACAAGACAACACGUCGUUUCGGACCGAGAGCAGCGAUUUCUCGUAAUUAGAGUAGACUCAACACUAAUAAAGCAGCAAACAGGCUUUUCUCUGGGCUUAAACCCUGCUACUGUCCGUAGCGCUUUCCUGCGGGCUGGGAUUGCAGAUUCGUUGGCGAGGGAGGGAGCGCACCUGAAGGCACCUGUCCGGGGCUCUGGGCUGCUUCCCUGCUCUUGCCAGGGCGGGCAGCGCUCAUGAAAAGCGAGUUUUUAAUUUUUUCUUGCUGGCCAGUGACAGCGAGACCUGCCUUUGGAUUUAUUUGCUUGAGAAUUGGCGGGGGGGGGGGGGGGGGAAGGGUGGGCGCUGUAUUUCGGGGGAGGGGGCGGCGCAGGACGAGACGCAGUUUUGGCAGGAUGUUUGCUCCCUUCUUAUGUCACUUGAGAUAUUAGUUCUCACCCACCUUCCUCCAGCCCUAAGUGCGCGGGGCUCUGGCGGAUACUUUCAGCACAGCUGUUGCACAAAGCUCGAUCUUUCCCUUUCCAGCCUUUAAACUCUGCUCCGCAUUUCUCUCUCCCCAACGCGUUAUUACUCCCUCGAGACGAGCUUCGGAGCUCAGGGGCUUCCUUCCUACCCCCUGCAGCAAAUCGUGACGGCCGAACUCCUAUUGCCUGCAGCCGAACUCCCCGAGUCCCUCGGUCCCAUAACCCGGUGCAAAAACGCCGGGGCCGGGCCGGUGCUGCACCGUGCCCGCACCAACCUCUGC
ensembl:lncRNA